rnacentral:siRNA from 1 species
CUAGACAACUGGGUGUGAUCGG